AUUGAACGCUGGCGGCAGGCCUAACACAUGCAAGUCUAACGAGUGGCGGACGGGUGAGUACUGUCUGGGAAACUGCCCGAUGGCUGGGGAUCACUACUGGAAACGGUAGCUAAUACCGCCUACCUUCGGAUGUGCCCACAUGGGAUUAGCGAGUAGGUGGGGUAACGGCUCACCUGGGCGCCGAUCCCUAGCUGGUCUGAGCGGCUGACCAGCCACACUGGAACGGAGACACGGUCCAGACUCCUACGGGAGGCAGCAGUGGGGAAUAUUGCAGAAUGGGCGCAAGCCUGAUGCAGCCAUGCCGCGUGUAUGAAGAAGGCCUGCGGGUGGUAAAGUACUUUCAGCGAGGAGGCGUUACUCGCAGAAGAAGCACCGGCUAACUCCGUGCCAGCAGCCGCGGUAAUUC
rnacentral:rRNA from 1 species